AAACAUGUCCUCAUGGGUGAUAUUUGAGGUCUGGCCUGCCCACUGAAUAGUUUUAAAGGGCCGCGGUAUACUAACCGUGCGAAGGUAGCAUAGUCAAUAGUCUUUUAAUUGAAGGCUUGAAUGAACGGUCGGACAUAGAGAAGUCUGUCUUCGGUUGAUUAGGGUGAAUUUAACUUUUGUGUGAAAAGGCAUUAAUAUUUUAAGGGGACGAUAAGACCCUAUAAAACUUGAUGAUUAGGUCGAUCUUUGUGAUUUAAGUAUAAUAUGAGGUUUAACUGGGUUCAUUGUGCUGGGGCGGUAGGAAUAUAAUCGGUAACUGUUCUUAGGUAUAAAAUAGUUUUAAUUAGAAAAUGACCCUGAGAUUUUGGGUUAUAAGAUUAAGUUACUUUAGGGAUAACAGCGUUAUUUCUCUUGAGAGUUCAUAUCGACAGGGACAUUUGCGACCUCGAUGUUGAAUUAAAGUUUUCUCCGGGAGUAGAAGUUCGGAUGAGUAGGUCUGUUCGACCUUUAAAACUUUACAUGAUUUGAGUUCAAACCGGUGUGAGCCA
rnacentral:rRNA from 1 species